rnacentral:rRNA from 1 species
AGAGUUUGAUCCUGGCUCAGGACGAACGCUGGCGGCACGCUUAACACAUGCAAGUCGAACGAGAGAAGAGGAGCUUGCUUUUCUGAUCUAGUGGCGGACGGGUGAGUAGCACGUGAGCAAUCUGCCUUUCAGAGGGGGAUACCGAUUGGAAACGAUCGUUAAUACCGCAUAACAUAAUUGAACCGCAUGAUUUGAUUAUCAAAGAUUUAUCGCUGAAAGAUGAGCUCGCGUCUGAUUAGCUAGUUGGUAAGGUAACGGCUUACCAAGGCGACGAUCAGUAGCCGGACUGAGAGGUUGAUCGGCCACAUUGGGACUGAGACACGGCCCAGACUCCUACGGGAGGCAGCAGUGGGGAAUAUUGCACAAUGGAGGAAACUCUGAUGCAGCGAUGCCGCGUGAGGGAAGAAGGUUUUAGGAUUGUAAACCUCUGUCUUCAGGGACGAAAAAAGACGGUACCUGAGGAGGAAGCUCCGGCUAACUACGUGCCAGCAGCCGCGGUAAUACGUAGGGAGCGAGCGUUGUCCGGAAUUACUGGGUGUAAAGGGAGCGUAGGCGGGAUCGCAAGUCAGAUGUGAAAACUAUGGGCUUAACCCAUAAACUGCAUUUGAAACUGUGGUUCUUGAGUGAAGUAGAGGUAAGCGGAAUUCCUAGUGUAGCGGUGAAAUGCGUAGAUAUUAGGAGGAACAUCAGUGGCGAAGGCGGCUUACUGGGCUUUAACUGACGCUGAGGCUCGAAAGCGUGGGGAGCAAACAGGAUUAGAUACCCUGGUAGUCCACGCCGUAAACGAUGAUUACUAGGUGUGGGGGGACUGACCCCUUCCGUGCCGCAGCAAACGCAAUAAGUAAUCCACCUGGGGAGUACGACCGCAAGGUUGAAACUCAAAGGAAUUGACGGGGGCCCGCACAAGCAGUGGAGUAUGUGGAUUAAUUCGAAGCAACGCGAAGAACCUUACCAGGUCUUGACAUCGUAUGCAUAGCUCAGAGAUGAGUGAAAUCUCUUCGGAGACAUAUAGACAGGUGGUGCAUGGUUGUCGUCAGCUCGUGUCGUGAGAUGUUGGGUUAAGUCCCGCAACGAGCGCAACCCUUACUGUUAGUUGCUACGCAAGAGCACUCUAGCAGGACUGCCGUUGACAAAACGGAGGAAGGUGGGGAUGACGUCAAAUCAUCAUGCCCCUUAUGACCUGGGCCUCACACGUACUACAAUGGCUGUCAACAGAGGGAAGCAAAGCCGCGAGGUGGAGCGAACCCCUAAAAGCAGUCUUAGUUCGGAUUGUAGGCUGCAACCCGCCUACAUGAAGUCGGAAUUGCUAGUAAUCGCAGAUCAGCAUGCUGCGGUGAAUACGUUCCCGGGCCUUGUACACACCGCCCGUCACGCCAUGGGAGUCGGUAACACCCGAAGCCUGUAGUCUAACCGCAAGGAGGACGCAGUCGAAGGUGGGAUUGAUGACUGGGGUGAAGUCGUAACAAGGUA